rnacentral:rRNA from 1 species
ACUCCUACGGGAGGCAGCAGUAGGGAAUCUUCCACAAUGGACGAAAGUCUGAUGGAGCAACGCCGCGUGAGUGAAGAAGGGUUUCGGCUCGUAAAACUCUGUUGUUAAAGAAGAACAUAUCUGAGAGUAACUGUUCAGGUAUUGACGGUAUUUAACCAGAAAGCCACGGCUAACUACGUGCCAGCAGCCGCGGUAAUACGUAGGUGGCAAGCGUUGUCCGGAUUUAUUGGGGCGUAAAGCGAGCGCAGGCGGUUUUUAAGUCUGAUGUGAAAGCCUUCGGCUCAACCGAGGAAGUGCAUCGGAAACUGGGAAACUUGAGUGCAGAAGAGGACAGUGGAACUCCAUGUGUAGCGGUGAAAUGCGUAGAUAUAUGGAAGAACACCAGUGGCGAAGGCGGCUGUCUGGUCUGUAACUGACGCUGAGGCUCGAAAGUAUGGGUAGCAAACAGGAUUAGAUACCCUGGUAGGAUAGCG